rnacentral:rRNA from 1 species
GACGAACGCUGGCGGCGUGCCUAAUACAUGCAAGUAGAACGCUGAAGGAGGAGCUUGCUUCUCUGGAUGAGUUGCGAACGGGUGAGUAACGCGUAGGUAACCUGCCUGGUAGCGGGGGAUAACUAUUGGAAACGAUAGCUAAUACCGCAUAAGAGUAGAUGUUGCAUGACAUUUGCUUAAAAGGUGCAAUUGCAUCACUACCAGAUGGACCUGCGUUGUAUUAGCUAGUUGGUGGGGUAACGGCUCACCAAGGCGACGAUACAUAGCCGACCUGAGAGGGUGAUCGGCCACACUGGGACUGAGACACGGCCCAGACUGCUACGGGAAGCAGCAGUAGGGAAUCUUCGGCAAUGGACGGAAGUCUGACCGAGCAACGCCGCGUGAGUGAAGAAGGUUUUCGGAUCGGAAAGCUCUGUUGUAAGAGAAGAACGAGUGUGAGAGUGGAAAGUUCACACUGUGACGGUAUCUUACCAGAAAGGGACGGCUAACUACGUG